AUUGAACGCUGGCGGCAUGCCUUACACAUGCAAGUCGAACGGUAACAGGUCUUCGGACGCUGACGAGUGGCGAACGGGUGAGUAAUACAUCGGAACGUGCCCAGUCGUGGGGGAUAACUACUCGAAAGAGUAGCUAAUACCGCAUACGAUCUGAGGAUGAAAGCGGGGGACCUUCGGGCCUCGCGCGAUUGGAGCGGCCGAUGGCAGAUUAGGUAGUUGGUGGGAUAAAAGCUUACCAAGCCGACGAUCUGUAGCUGGUCUGAGAGGACGACCAGCCACACUGGGACUGAGACACGGCCCAGACUCCUACGGGAGGCAGCAGUGGGGAAUUUUGGACAAUGGGCGAAAGCCUGAUCCAGCAAUGCCGCGUGCAGGAUGAAGGCCUUCGGGUUGUAAACUGCUUUUGUACGGAACGAAAAAGCUCCUUCUAAUACAGGGGGCCCAUGACGGUACCGUAAGAAUAAGCACCGGCUAACUACGUGCCAGCAGCCGCCGUAA
rnacentral:rRNA from 1 species